UACAGAGGGUGCAAGCGUUAAUCGGAGUUACUGGGCGUAAAGGGCGCGUAGGCGGUUAUUUAAGUUAGAUGUGAAAUCCCUGGGCUUAACCUAGGAACUGCAUCUAAUACUGGGUAACUAGAGUACUGUAGAGGAUAGUGGAAUUUCCGGUGUAGCGGUGAAAUGCGUAGAGAUCGGAAGGAACACCAGUGGCGAAGGCGGCUAUCUGGACAGAUACUGACGCUGAGGCGCGAGAGCGUGGGGAGCAAACAGG
rnacentral:rRNA from 1 species